UACGGGGGGGGCAAGCGUUGCUCGGAAUUACUGGGCGUAAAGGGCUCGUAGGCGGCCGACUAAGUCCGACGUGAAAUCCCAAAGCUUAACUUUGGAACUGCGUCGGAUACUGGAUGGCUUGAAUUCGGGAGAGGGAUGCAGAAUUCCAGGUGUAGCGGUGAAAUGCGUAGAUAUCUGGAGGAAUACCGGUGGCGAAGGCGGCAUCCUGGACCGACAUUGACGCUGAGGAGCGAAAGCUAGGGGAGCAAACGGG
rnacentral:rRNA from 1 species